rnacentral:lncRNA from 1 species
UUUACUAUGCCUUCUACCGGCUUUGCAAGUGAACAAAGUCUCUAUCAGAAUACUGAAUUGCCGAAAUUGACGCUUGCGUGCUGUCCGAUCAGCAGUUCAUCUUUAUUAGCCAUGUCUCAUUUCACGACUUCGUUUGCAGCAGUUUACGAGCGCUCAUCAUCCUUGCUGCCGGUGAGAUCGGGUUCUACUGCGCAUACGUUCUCAUCUGUGCUCCUCGUCCACCAUGCUUACCUGCAUGCGAUACCCUCUAUAGUUGAUGGCAUUCAUUAAUGUAAAAUAAUUUAUGUAUGCUCUUGAAAUUUUUGACAAACAGCUCAAGGAGCUCUGUCAGCGAGUACGCAACGUCAUAAGCCGGUGCAACAUACUCGGUUGCUCGAUCAUGAACGGAGAAAACAUCCCACAUCAUUUGCAGCGCUGGGCGCUGCUGUCCUUCUUAUUGGGUUGCUACUACUGCUCAUGAUAAUACCUGGUGAGUAAUAAAAUGACUGGGGUGUUCAAAUUAUAUCAUACGUAACUUUCGUAGCGUACAAACGCAUUGUUCCAAUAACUGAUCGCGAACCGCGAACUAAUUUACAGCAGUCUCUGGUAGUAAGAACCAUUGUAUAUGUUCUCUUACAUACCGUGCCCUUCGAUUGGUCGCUUGUCCGUGCAUCACAGCUGCCUAAUAACCGAAAUAAACGCCUCUUACUUCCCUACCACAUAGACUUGCCCGGUUAUCGGGCAAUUGUGGCCGUUAAUGGGGUACGCGGAGACCGGUUACCAGGUGGAUGGUUACCGGGGGUCGUUAAUGGGGGUGGUUACGAUUGGGUUACCAGGUUGAUCGUUACUGGGCAGUAACCGGGGCUGGUUACCGGUUUGAAGACUAUCGUUUUUCGCAUUAAUUCACAGCAGCAAGGACAGCCCUCUAUGGCCGGUACUCAGCUCAGUGUCUUUUUUUAAAGUAAUAUAUUCCUUAAAAGUAAUAAACAGGCCAUUUUGGCGUUUGGAAAAAAGGAAUUAACUGAGGCCGAUCCUCAAAGCCCUCAGCACUCCUCCUCUGGCGAUCUAAGUGAUGCCCAGCACUGUGCUGCGUAAGCAUGAUGCUGCGUUUGCGGCGGUCCUGGAUGAUGUCCAUGCCGAGGUAGUAGCGCGCCUCUCCAAGGUCUCGUACUGCGAAGCAACCAG